GGGGAUUUAGCUCAGUGGUAGAGCGCUUGCCUAGCAAGCACAAGACCCUGGGUUCGGUCCCCAGCUCCG
rfam:Rattus norvegicus chromosome 17, whole genome shotgun sequence.